ACCAGCCCUUGACAUGUCCGGCUAGCUACAGAGAUGUAGUGUUCCCUUCGGGGACCGGAGCACAGGUGCUGCAUGGCUGUCGUCAGCUCGUGUCGUGAGAUGUUGGGUUAAGUCCCGCAACGAGCGCAACCCUCGCCCUUAGUUGCCAGCAUUCAGUUGGGCACUCUAAGGGGACUGCCGGUGAUAAGCCGAGAGGAAGGUGGGGAUGACGUCAAGUCCUCAUGGCCCUUACGGGCUGGGCUACACACGUGCUACAAUGGUGGUGACAGUGGGCAGCGAAGGAGCGAUCCCGAGCUAAUCUCCAAAAGCCAUCUCAGUUCGGAUUGCACUCUGCAACUCGAGUGCAUGAAGUUGGAAUCGCUAGUAAUCGCGGAUCAGCACGUCCG
rnacentral:rRNA from 1 species